rnacentral:rRNA from 1 species
AACGAACGCUGGCGGCAGGCUUAACACAUGCAAGUCGAGCGCCCCGCAAGGGGAGUGGCAGACGGGUGAGUAACGCGUGGGAACAUACCCUUUUCUGCGGAAUAGCUCUGGGAAACUGGAAUUAAUACCGCAUACGCCCUACGGGGGAAAGAUUUAUCGGCAAAGGAUCGGCCCGCGUUGGAUUAGCUAGUUGGUGGGGCAAUGGCCUACCAAGGCGACGAUCCAUAGCUGGUCUGAGAGGAUGAUCAGCCACAUUGGGACUGAGACACGGCCCAAACUCCUACGGGAGGCAGCAGUGGGGAAUAUUGGACAAUGGGCGCAAGCCUGAUCCAGCCAUGCCGCGUGAGUGAUGAAGGCCUUAGGGUUGUAAAGCUCUUUCACCGGAGAAGAUAAUGACGGUAUCCGGAGAAGAAGCCCCGGCUAACUUCGUGCCAGCCGCCGCAGUAAGAC